rnacentral:lncRNA from 1 species
AAAAUACUAGUAUAGAUGGUUUUUUUUUUUUUGACGUCUAGAUUUAUUAUUUAUUGCAAAUUAUGAGAACUGUUACAUAGACGAUUCUACAAUGGACAAUUCCUUCCGACCCUUAUUAGAUCCACGACAGACGACACUUCUUUCUCCAUGCUCUUGACGGACACCUUCAAUGAUCCACGACCUAACGACACUUCUCUCUCUGCGUAGAAUCCUGGCGAACGGACACCUUCAAUGAUCCACGACCUAACGACACUUCUCUCUCUGCGUAGAAUCCUGGCGAACGGCUAUAAUUGUACUUCGCUGGAGAUCUCCUGCACACUUGCCUCAUUUAAUCUGCAAAUUUAUUAAUAAAUCGCAAUAUCUGGGACUCGAACCCCAGACCUCUUGGUGUAGAAGCAUUAAUUAACCCUUGGUCAACCAAUGGGCCAAGGGGGCUUCC